AAUGAUUAAGUCAUCUUUGUCUUUUUCUUUUGCAUUUAAUGCUUGGGAGAGUCCCAUAAUUUCUUCUUGCUUCAUUUUUCCACAAUGAAUCCUUUCUUCUUGUCUUUAACCAUUAAGUCAAGCAAACUUGAGUUUGAAUUCCAUAUGUGUCAGUUAGAGAAACAGAAAGGAAAAAAGGUGAGAUAGGCUUGCAUUAAUUAUUACAUCUACUUAAGUCAUUAGUUGAUCACAAGUAAGAGAAAGAGUCGAUAUAGUUUCUCAUUUACUUCAAAACCCAUAUGUAGUUUUUGCAUGCAUGAAAAAGAGUACUUAAGUGAGUUCUAAGCCAAGAUAACCAUAAUCUUUCUUCCCCAAUACAUUCUAAAUAUAUAACAACAUUUCUCGAGUUUUGGGGCUUAUUUUGUUGAAGCAAAACCCCAAAAAUACACCUACAAGGAGUUGGUAUAUCAAGAGAGGUAUUUAGGUAACAUACUUCGCAAGCUUGGUCUUUGAAGCUUCAAAAUCUGAAGUUGUGUUCAUUUUAAGGAUGGUGUUGUAGAUUGGUGUGUAUAAAUUAUCUACUUCUAUUUGAAUGCCUCUGUGGAAUGGAAAAAGACCGAAGGAGGCAAGAAUUAGCCAAUCAGGGCGUCUUAUGAAUCAUUAAUCGAAUCGACAUACUUGAUAGAUAUCUCCACCUCGACGUCGUGAAUCGACAUACCUCUGAUAAGGGGAUUCAAGAAUUACUCAAAUGAAUAGAACGCAUCUUUCCAACUCACUCUGUUCUCUCUUACAGUCGCAGUCGACUUCCCGGCUUCUAACCCCUAUUUCUCACAAACUCUCGCAUUUUCAUUAUGAUUCGCACUCUCGAUUCUCUAUGCUGAUUUCGAAUCUUUGCGACUUCCUUGAUAUCAGAUAAGAAUUUAAGAAGAGAACUAAUCAAACGAGUAGGAGACUCAUUUGUUCUGUGGCAACCAAAUCCAUGUCAGAAUCAGUUGGAGAAUCAAAAAUGGAGGGUCCUAAAGAGAUUUUCCUAAAAGAUUACAAAUUACCAGAUUACUACUUUGAUACAGUGGAUCUAAGCUUUUCAUUGGGUGAAGAAAAGACAAUUGUGUGUGCAAAAAUCAGAGUUGUCCCUAGAGUUGAUGGUGUCGCUGCUCCAUUGGCUUUGGAUGGGGUUGAUCUCAAGCUGAUUUCGGUUAGGAUUAAUGGUAUUGAACUGAAGGAGGGAGAUUAUGAUAUAGAUGCUCGGCAUCUAAUUCUCAAAGCACCUCCAAGUGGGAGUUUUACCUUGGAAACUGUUACUGAAAUCUCACCACAACAUAACACAUCAUUAGAGGGUCUUUACAAGUCGUCUGGUAAUUUCUGCACACAAUGUGAAGCAGAAGGUUUCAGAAAGAUAACUUAUUUUCAGGAUCGCCCUGAUAUUAUGGCAAAAUAUACUGUUCGUAUUGAGGCUGACAAGUCACUUUACCCUGUGUUAUUGUCCAAUGGAAACCUCAUUGAUCAAGGAGAUUUAGAGGGUGGGAAGCAUUUUGCUGUUUGGGAGGAUCCAUUCAAGAAACCUUGUUAUCUUUUUGCAUUGGUUGCAGGAGAAUUAGAGAGCAGAGAUGACACUUUCAUAACAUGUUCGGGUCGAAAAGUUGAUUUAAGAAUAUGGACCCCACCACAAGAUCUCCCUAAAACCCUACAUGCCAUGUAUUCUCUCAAAGCAGCCAUGAAAUGGGAUGAAGAUGUUUUCGGUCGAGAGUAUGAUCUUGAUCUCUUCAACAUCGUGGUUGUUCCCGAUUUCAACUUGGGAGCCAUGGAAAACAAGAGCUUGAAUAUUUUCAAUUCUAAGCUUAUUUUGGCAUCACCGGAGACGGCUUCAGAUGCGGAUUAUGCUGCAAUUUUGAGUUGUAUUGGUCACGAGUAUUUCCAUAACUGGACUGGCAACAGAGUGACAUGUCGUGACUGGUUCCAGUUGAGUUUGAAAGAAGGUCUUACCAUUUUUCGUGAUCAAGAAUUUUCAUCUGAUUUAGGCAGUCGAACAGUUAAGAGAAUUGGUGAUGUUUCAAAGCUUCGUAUAUACCAAUUUUCACAGGAUGCAGGACCCAUGGCUCAUCCUGUUAGGCCUCACUCUUACAUUAAGAUGGACAAUUUCUAUACAGUAACGGUGUACCAAAAAGGUGCUGAAGUUGUCCGUAUGUACAAAACUUUAUUAGGAAGUGAAGGGUUCUGGAAGGGGACAGAUCUGUACUUUGAAAGGCAUGAUGGGCAAGCAGUAACUUGUGAAGAUUUCUUUGCUGCUAUGAGAGAUGCUAACAAUACGGAUUUUGCUAAUUUCUUAUUAUGGUAUUCACAAGCUGGUACCCCUAUCGUGAAGGUUACAUCUUCUUACAAUGUUGAAGCUCAUACCUUUUCUUUGAAGUUUAGUCAAACGUUGCCACCUUCUCCAGGUCAGCCUACAAAAGAGCCAAUGUUCAUUCCUGUGGCUAUGGGGCUUCUUGAUUCAAGUGGAAAAGACAUGCCAUUAUCAUCUUUCUAUCAAGAUGGGAAGUUAGUGUCCAUCACAUCUGGUGCUCAGCCUGUCUACACUACUGUUCUCAGGGUUACAAAGGCUGAAGAAGAAUUUGUAUUCACAGAUGUUGCUGAAAAACCAAUUCCAUCACUGUUAAGGGGUUAUAGUGCUCCUAUUCACCUACACUCUGAUCUUACAGAAAACGAUCUGUUUUUCCUUCUUGCUCAUGAUUCAGAUGAAUUUAAUCGUUGGGAAGCUGGACAAAUAUUGGCAAGGAAACUGAUGCUAAGCCAAGUUGUUAACUUUCAAAAAGAUAAUAAAUUGGUUCUUGAUCCACAAUUUGUUCAUGGGAUCAAAUGUAUUCUUUUGGAUUCGAGCCUAGACAAGGAGUUUAUUGCACAAACAAUAACACUCCCUGGUGAAGGUGAGAUUAUGGACAUGAUGGAAGUAGCAGACCCUGAUGCUGUUCAUGCUGUUCAAUCUUUUAUUAGAAAACAACUUGCUUUGGAGUUGAAGCAAGAAUUCAUAAACAAGGUGGAAGAAAAUAGGAGCUCAGAGAAGUAUGAGUUUGACCAUGUUAAUAUGGCAAGACGUGCUCUUAAGAACACUGCCCUUGGGUAUCUUGCGACUCUUGAAGAUGAAGAAAUCAACGAGCUUGUGGUGAAUGAAUACAAAAGUGCAACAAAUAUGACAGAUCAAUUCUCAGCUCUUGCAGCCAUUGCUCAAAAACCAGGUGGUUAACAAGUGGUUUUCACUUCAAUCUGCAUCGGAUAUUCCUGGGAAUGUUGAGAAUGUUAAGAAACUUUUGAAUCAUCCUGCAUUUGACCUAAGGAAUCCCAACAAGGUUUAUUCACUGAUUGGAGGAUUUUGUGCAUCGCCUGUUA